rnacentral:tRNA from 1 species
GGGCUUGUAGCUCAGUGGAUUAGAGCACGUGGCUACGAACCACGGUGUCGGGGGUUCGAAUCCCUCCCUGCCCG